rnacentral:lncRNA from 1 species
ACACACAUGCACACACAUGCACACUUAGCUGGUAAAGCAGAGCUGACACACCCCCUUUCAGUGAGAUCACAUCCACCACUGAGCCCCCCUAUGAGAUUUUCUGCUGAUUCCUGCACACACUUAGCCAGUUUUUCAGCUGUCUAACUUAGGACCAGGACCCCUGUCUGCAGAUAGGUAGGUACCAAUGGAAUUGCUUUAUAAAUUUAGUCUCAAAUAGUGGUUUUUGUACACAAAUUGACUCUCAUGUUACUUAAAGUACAUGGUGUUCCCUCAGGUUUGUGCACAUGGUCAGGCAAGGAGGUGUGUACUGGGCUUCCAAUGGAGGCACAGUAGUUAGGCAGAAAAGCUGAUCUGUUGCUCCAGAAUAGUAUUUUAAAGAACCUGAGACCUUUUACUUAUAUUCACAGUUUGAUGUCCCUUAUUUAUUUAUUUUUUUUAGAUAUAUUGGUGUUAAAUUAAUCUAUGGGCCUACCCUAUUGUAUUUUUUCGGUACCAUUUAAUAAUUCAUUAAGCCCAAAGAGUUGAUGCAUGGAGAGCAUUAUUUCUGCAUGAGGAGGUUUCCAGACAGUCAGUUUGGCUAAUUAGUUGACAUUUAAUGCUAAUGUAAUUUCACCACCUCUGCUCUCAAGUCAGAUAUUGAGAGCCGCUUCAGGAAACGGUGGGGAGUAGUUAAUGUGAGCUUUGCCUUAUUAUUUCAGAGUUAAAAAAGUUCUCGUCCCGUUUAUCCUGGGCUGUAGUUACUCAGCGGUUUCUUUGAAAGCAGCCUGCGGUUUAGGCGCAGGACUACGUAUCCCAUAAGCCGCGGAGGUAGACGUAAUUUGGGGGGUUUACGCAGGUGUGUGUCGGCUCAGAAACACAGAAACGGCGUUCUAAGGUGAGACGAUUGGCAAGACUUCAAUAAGUUAUACAAGUGUUUUAGAAAGGGGUGAAAUAAACGCACUGGUUAAAAGUAGCAUAUUCGCACAGUUUUACACCGAGAAUACCGACUUUAACUGCAGUUACUAAGUGAAGUGUUUUUGGGUAGUGGUCUAAAAUAGCCCCAGUAGGCCCCUGUGCUUGUUGUAUGAAAAGCAGAAGUGUCGCGGCGAGACUAUGGCGGAGACUUCUGCAGCAGCUCGUUGCGUAACCGUUGAGGAGCGGGCGCAUUGAUGCAACAGCACAACGGAGUUAAAGAUGUGUCACGGUGAUAAUUGGGAUAAUCUUUGCUCAUAACUCGAUCCUAAUCCUGCUAAAAGGCUUGUCUACUAAAUUCACACCAACAUCCUUGACUGAGCAGCAAAGAGAAAAGUUCAAACUUUUUAUUUUAGAGCUGCAAAACCUUCUGCCAAUAUCCUGAAAAUAAUAGUUUUACCUGUGUGUCAGGGUUUGAAAAGCUUUAAGUAGUUGUUUGAACCAUGGCCUCCUGCUCACUGGGCGUAAAUGAAAAUCUCUGCGUUGAUCUUAUCAUCAUAUUAGAAAGUCUAAACCAGAAGCCACUUUUCUGCCUUCCUUAUGGUCCAAACUACAACUUAAACUAGGCACAGGUAGAAGUUUAACUGGUUGACUACAAUAACUGUUUUCACAAACAUACAAUGAAAUGGGAAGAUUGUCCCUUUCCUCAAUUUUAAACAAGUAAAUCAGAAGACUAACCAGCCGGUUAUUUGGUCCAGUAGUUGUUUUUUGUUUUUUUUUUAACUCAGAACAACUUUUUUUUUUUGGAUAAUUUAAGUUGGAAAAGUUUUAAAUGUGACCUUGGAAUCACUUGUUGUACCUAUACUACAAGGACAAAGGCCUCAUGUGGCCUCUGCUCCACUUAUGAUGACAAAAAAGCAAUAUGAAGACCUGAGAAAAUGCAAACUAAAAAAAUACUGCAGUUAUUCCUGAAGUGGAAAAACUUAACCAUGAGUCCCUCCAGUUAGCUGGGCCUUCAAAAUGUUUCAUGUCUCCUUUCAUUCACUGACCUUUUCAACAUGGCUGCCAUGAGCUGUGAUGAGACUGCAGAGGCAAGCGAGAUGCUGUGACCUGUUGCACAAAGCUGCCACUAGGUGGCACAACUGAUUGGACAGAUGACAUAAUAUUGAAGAGGCAACUGUCAUACUUUUCCAGCACAGAUCCUCUGUACUACAUCACAUUGUGGAAAGACCAUGAAAUGUCAGAUUUCUCCUCAGUUUUUAACCUGCUGUUUAGUGUUAGCUGGAGUUGAUGUAGGUCUUUCAAAGAGUUUCCUACUGCCUGAGCAGAGCAGUUUGAGCGAAACCUCUUUUAUCAUUCAAGUAGAACUGAAGGUAUCAGACUACAUGAUUGCUCUUCCAUUAGUAAGACCCUGAACUCAGUUCUUUUCUCUCUUUUGUCCUUGUUUGCCAAUUGUCCUGUCUUUGCACUUCAGUUAAGGUCACUGCCCCUUCACCCUUCUGCCCCCCCCACCUCCCACCCAUGACCGCUGUGUACACACGUGUGCUGUCCCCUCACAUGUUUAUCUCCUCCCACCUCCUUCUGUGAGCCCUCCCCUUUUAACCAACUCAACUCCACCAUCUCUCUCUCUCGCUCUCUCUCUCUUUCUCUGGUCUCUGUCUCUUGGUGGCUCUGGGAACCAAAGGCGUUCGGAGGACAGGAACAGGACAGGACACGCACCCUAUUCACUACCCACAGCAGCACCGCAGACAUGUCGGACUCAGAGACCGCCGCCGCCCCCGCCGAGGCCCCAGUUCCUGCCGCAUGUGUCAGCAUCAAGGCUGACCUGGACAAAUGGUAGGUGACUGUUUGAAUGUUGCACGAAAGUGUUCAGGUGAGAAAAAAGUGUAAAUAAGUGAAUGUAGAAAAAGUCUUCAUGUCAAAGUCCUGAAGCCGUUGAAUGUCCAAAACUUCUCCUCUGUCUCCAAGAGUUGCUUUCAGUCAUUUAUAAUUUACUGAGAUCUAAACCGGUAGACAGCCGAGAAGUCGUGAGCAAAGACCGACUGACUCAUCAUCGCACAUCUCUUAAUUAUUACAUAACAACUGGUUUGAAAGCAAAGAAUUCUCAAAAUCCAAAUCUGAUGUAAAAUUGCAUGAGUGUUCUAGUGCAGGAAUGUGCAGCAUCCUUAAAUGCGCCAUGUUAAAAUGGAGCCUUUUGAUGGAGGCUGUCCUCAGCGCUAAAAUCCGCCAAGACAAAAUUAAUCGUAGCAUUUUGAAAUGUGACUGAAUUUGACGUUCUAGCUGUGUAAGGGUAAAGGUUUGGGAAACUCCGGGUACUCUGCAUAGGGGACAGAGAUUUUGGGAUUAAUGGAGUGCGACAGCGGGGUGAUGUUUGAUGCUCAUCGAUUCGCAUGGAUGGAGGCUGGGAAUCUGCUUACGUCACACCCCUUCCCCAGAAUACCUUGCGUUAGCUUGUCCCAAAAACCUUCACUGCCCCUCUUUGCCUUCUGCUGUAUCGGUGGUCGGGGACAGCACCGAAGUGUCCGUUUGGGGGCUUUCAUGCAAUUGUACAGUACAGACUGUGGUCUGCAGAGGGGUGUAGCUGAAUUCACUUUGCUGUAAAAUGUUCUUGCACAUUUACCCUUCACAUUCGCCCUCCACACCCCUUUUUUGGAUCAGUCCAUUUCAACUACCAAGAUUUUUUUUCAGUGGAUGGUGGCUAAGCUAAGGCUCAAGUAGAUCAAUUGAUCAAUCAUCAUUUGCAGCUUACAUUUUUUUUAUUGUUAUUAUUGGAUAAUGCGUUUUUGCCUUAUUUGUGCUAAAAUUCUGUGCAGGAUACUUCAUUUCUUGGUAGUAAAAGCUGCCAUGUAUGUUCCAGCCAGACUGUUGGACCUUGAUAAGGUGGCAGUAAAUGUGUGAACCCUCUAGAUAAGAUGACUGAGGUGGGGUGGUGGAGAGAGGGCAGGCAGGGAAAGGCCUGGCUGGUUGGCUAAUCAUGUGUAGAAGUUGCACAAGUGCCAACUUUGUCGCCCUUUUUAUACACUUACUAAAGACACUGGAGGAUACCUUUGAGUUUACAGGUUCGGUAGCGAGUUUGACAUCAAUAAACAUUGGAGGUUUUACUCAGGUGUACAGUCCAACAUUGAUAAAUACCUGACACCAAAUAAUGAAAGCUGCACUUGUGUACAGACUCAUUGAGGGGCAGCUUUUACUGUACCUUGUUAAAGUGCAAAGUAACUCUAAACUUGGAGCUCCGGCCAAGGUCGUCUCUCGGCAGGCUGUUAAAAAGCACAGUGCAAUCUGUCUGAGGUGGAAAAUCUUAAGAUGAGUUUGAACUCAGAGUUUUAUACAUUAAAAAAUAGGAUGCAGCUUUUAAGCACUACUUUUAAUAGGAAAUGACAGUGCUAGCCUGCUAGUAAAAGCAAACAAUCCAUACUUCUAAGCUUCAAAAGUGAUAUCAGACAACUCUAGUUUGGCACUUUUUGAAUUGACUUCACCUGAGCACAUGCCCUACACAGCUCCUUCUUAAGCCGCUACAGGUUUCAUAUUUUUAUUUUAUUUUGUCAUGAGUACUUUGUGAGCUUGGAAGCUGAAGCCCUCCUUUUGCACUCCGCCAUUUAAGCUUCUUGUGCUCUGUGGGACUGUUCGCCAGUAUUUUAGAGAUAGUAAAUUCUAUCUGCAGUUAUUAAACACCACACACCAGGCUGUGUAAUUUAUGUGUUUGAAAACUCCUGGCAGCAGGUCAAGGUAACAGUUGUACAUCCACAGAGAGUGGAGGUGGAAAUGAUGGAAGUAGUAAGGACCAUCUGGUAUCCUUUGAAUCCAGUUUGUGAUAAAUAAGAUGAUAAGAUGAUCGGGUAUCAAAGCCUCAGCUCCCCUCUGGUCUCUCUGCAUGUGGUCACCUAUGUGCUGAAUGUCCCUACGACUCCUGGCCUGUCUGGGCCUUUCAUUUCAAACCAACUUACUCGAGCUACUAGAAGAUGCAAUAUGGCGGACAGUGUAAUGAAUACCAUAACCCCUAUGUAUUUUUAGAUGUGUGUACGACUCAAGACUGUAUGUGCAGGAUACCAUGACAUGUUCCCUGCCGUAGAUCAUGUUACAGCUCCACCUGACACUUCUUUUUAAACAGGCCAGCUCAAUGUGAAACAGCUCCACAUUCACACUCAGGCGGGAGACUCAUGGAGGCGGCCAUGUUGGAUUGAGGCCCUCAUUCUGAUUAAUAAACCAGUUUUGACUCAAGUGUCUAGGUCAUUUCUAUCAUGUUAGAUUGUUUUAGAAAUGUUUCUGACAUCUUUAAACGCUUGAGAUAAUUUUCAUUUCAGUUUUCUUGUACAGGGCAGUGUUAGUUAUGAGCUCGCCAAGGUCAUAUAGCAAAGUCACACAGGCCAGGUAUUAGCAACAGGCUACCUGCAUCAGCAAAGUGUGCAUUUGAUAUGAAAUAUGAUAUUUACAUACAGAAUAGAAAUAAAUCUACUGUUACACAUUAAAAUAAAAUUUGAAAAUAGAAUUGUUUUAUUAGCAAUGACUGCUGCACUUUGUAAUUUCUGAAGCUAUCUUAACACAGUUUAUUUUAACUUUACAAAGAGUUAAAUAUUUGGUUAAGUGUGGUUAAACUCUUCAUUUUAGCUCAAAUUUGCGUUGUAGCCCAGGCUAAUAUCAGACAAGUGUACAUGUGAUAACGUAUUGGAGACCUUUCUGACUGUUUUAAAAGUCACAUAAUUUAGGUCUUUGGAGAAACAAAUCCUCUGUUGCACAAAGGUUGACAUUAUUCAACCAGUGUUUAACUAUUAAUAAAAGCUGAAAUGAUCAUUUAAGAAAACGCUUUCUGCAGUGUAUUUGUAGACAUUUGCACCAACAUCUUAAAGUCCUGGGGCCUGUUUAGUUGUCAGUUAUUCACUAAUAUUUACCAUACUCCCGCAAACCCCUAUAGCUGACAUGUUGGUUAAUGGUAAGCCUGUGUACUUUGAGACUCUUUCACAAGAGUUUGACAUGAGCACACAGACCUAUCCCCUUUCCUUUGCUCCUCCUCACACACAUUCUGUCUCUGUUACUGAUUGCCUAAAAGUUGCAUGCACAGACAGGCAUGUACAUUUUUGCCAGUGGAAACCGUGCUGGUUUUCACCAUGGAAUUCGGUGACUAGGCAGAAGUCAGUAAUCUGAGUAAAGGGCUGUGGAGCUGCAGUUGUGACCCCCCCCCCCCCCCCCCCACCCAAUAUAUGGAAAUACUCAAGUGGUUAUGAGAGAGACCCUGGACCCUGACGACUUUAGAGGAAGGCGUCAUCUUCAUUGUUAUUCAAAAUGACUAAAUGGUACUUAAAAUUAAGUUACUUCUACUUCUAGUUAAUAAGUGACUAAAAACAAAAGUACUUUAAUUCAAACCGUAGCCAAGAGAUUUGCAGAAAGUCAGCUCUAGACUCUGACACUGGGUCUAAAGAGGAGUCAGGCACCACUAUCUCCCAAUCUCAGACCUUAGUAGGGUCAGUUGUCGUAGCUCUAGGUUGCUUGUAUUAGCUGUGCAGUUAUUGCUACCUCCAGGCAUCCCAGGAAAAACCUCAGAGAGCCCUGCUCCACAAAGCUCUCUGUGCCCCAAAGCAUCUACUCAGUGAAAGUUGUGCAUGUUUUAAAUGCAAGAUUAUGAAGUCUCCCUGACACAGCAGACAUCGGGGGCAUGGUGGUUAAUCAUUACUGGUCUGAUGUCUGAUCUCCUCUGUUCCACCUCUUGGAGCACCUCUAUUAAAAAGUCUUUGUUUAGAGAGUUUGAUUUGUGUUGAUCGAGUGAUUAAUAAAAGACAUCACAUACUGUUGUAGGAUGUGUAGAGAACUUGUUAAAAUACCCUCGGCACUGUCUGCAGCUCAUGCCCCUGGACUAGUUGAUUGCUGGUUUUCUGUAUCUUGCAUAGUUGAUAAUUUGCAUUUGAAAUCUUGAGUUAUUGACUUUAAGAAAAAGUCAGAGAAAGAUGGAUUUGACUUGCAGUUAAAAAAUGCUUUAAACAGGUUUGAUAUCAGUGUCAGUGUAUUUAAGGUUCACUCCCUGAUGUCUCUUGAGAUAUUUUCUACUGUUAGUUUAGUGAAGACCCUGAGUCUGGGGGUUGGCAGUUAAACUAGAAUAUGGUUUUUAAUGUGAUUAAUUGUAAUGCAACUGGUGAUAUGAAAUGCUAAGUAGACAGUGAAUUUUUCUCGAGGGGACACAAAUCUUGAGGAACAUUCUGCUGGUCCAAGGCCCAGGGUUCCUUCUAGGGCUGGGCAAUAAACCGAAAAUGUACAGAUACCAAAAUUUACGACAAUGCCGUAAAUGACGUCAUUUUGCCCAUAUCUGUAUAUUCAGUGUCAAACAAAUAAAUAAAUAAAAGUUGGUUUUGGAUGUGUGUAGGUAGGCUUUGGUCUCAUGUCCCUUUAAGACGCUGUCCUAUGUCAGAGAUAUGACUCCACCCCAUCCAGUCCGUAACAAAGAGGGAAAGACAGGUGAGUAGAUGGAAGACGGUAGAAAUAGACAAAGUUAAUGUGGGAGGGGGUGAGCAGCUUGAGAGUAGUUAAUGUCCAUUUAUCGUAAUCUAGGUGAACUUGUUAAUGUAUCCUGAUAUUGAUUUGAGGCCAUAUCGCCCAGCCCUACUUCCUUCACGCUGAUUAAACUGCACACUUUCCUUAAUCACUCAUGAUGUCUCUGCUUAUGCUCAGCCACCACAUCCUCUGGUGCUGCAGCGCCUGCUCAUUGUUGCAACAUGCAUGUUUGUCCCAGAGGGCUUACUACAGCCAGCCCAGUCUUCAAGUAGUAAAUAAUUCAAGAGUUCAUUUCCUGAUGGUGUCCAACACAGGAUGAGGACGCUGCUCUCCUUCCUCCUCCAUCACUCCUUGUAUUAUCAUUACAAUUUGAGCUUUUUGUUUUAAUGGACAUGCUCAAGUGCUCAAGCCUUAUUUUAGUGCUGUUACUUGUCGCCACGACUGCCCCGCUUUGCCCCUUGACCCCUUAAGGUGACCCAGUACAGAGUAAUGCUUUCUCUCAGGAGAUUGCGUGAUGGAUGAAGUGGUGGUGAUGUCAUUGGCUCCCCUCCCUCCUUUGCUUGAACAGGCUCUGUAAUCCUCCUGCGUGCACUCUAAAUAAAUGUGUGUCAUCAUAUCUCCAUCUGCUUUUAUUUGGGACUAUUCAACAUCUUUUUAAAUCCCCUCAUUUUCAAUGCUCAGAAAAUAAUCAGAGUAACAUUAAAAACCGCUCCAUAUAGGAGUGGAGUAUCGUGAUCAUGGUUUUGAAUCUGAGUUUUUAGGGUGUUUUGUAAAAAAAAGAGCAGCAUAAAGCUUUUAAAGAUGUUUGUAAAAGCAGAGUUUGCAAACAGGGCUUGGAGCAUUGGCUCAAGUGGUAACAGUGUAUUAGUGUAACUGUUGUGAAGGAAAUCCUUAGCUAUAGUGCAGAGCCUGUUUGAAUUCAGGACUUAUUUAGGAUUGAAAGAUGCAUCUUAAAGGCUCAGUGUGUAGUAGGGCUGGGCGAUAAACCGAAACUUAGGACAAUAACCAACGUCAUUAUGCCCGUAUGUCGGUAUAUUCGGUGUCAAAAAAAUAAAUAAAAGUUGUUUUGGAUGUGUGUAGACAGGCAAUGGUCUCAUGUCCCUGUCUUACGUCAGAGACGUGACUCCACCCCAUCCAAUCCGUAACAAAGAGGGAAAGACAGGUGAGGAGAUGGAGGACGGUUCAAAAGUUUUUAGCGGCUGAAGUAGACGAAGUUAAUGUGGGAGGGGGUGAGCAGCUUGUGGAGUAGUUAUCAUCCAUUUAUCAUUAUCUAGCUGAAUUGCUCAAUAUAUCAUGAUAUUGAUUUGAGGCCACAUUACCCAGCCCUAGUGUGUAGUAACUUUAGCAGAGGAGACUUCUGAUUCACUCUAAUACAAAACAAAUACACUGCAAUACCAAAACAAUUUACUGUUUGUCACUGAGGAUGUAAUAUUACUAAAAAGGAGAAGUUACUGAAACAGGACCUGGUACUGAACUUUGAGGAACAGAUAGCAACAUGUCAGUUUUCAACACGGCUGCUCAGCAUUUCACCACCAUGAGACAAACAAUCCUGACACCAAGUCCAGUUCCAGAUAUAAUAUACAUCCUAUACCCUCUGUAAACCUUAAAAGAUCAAUUCAGUGAUCAAUUCAGCAUAGCACAUUUUUUCCUCUUUUGUCAUUAGAUACAAUAUCAUCAAACACAGGAAAAGCAGAUCAGUGCUGAACUAAGCUCUAAAACCAGAGUGCUGCGGACCUAAAUAGAGGAUUUCUCAGGAGAAGGGAUCUGAGCCGCCUGUUGAAUCAAGUAUGUUAGACACACAGGACAGAAGCGGAUGAAAAGAGUACGCAGGAUGAGGAUGAACGAUAUCAAAUAUUCUGGGGUGAUUUUUGUAGCAAAGCAAACUUUUCCACACAAUGACAGAGAGCCACAGUGUCAAGAGCUCCACUCAGGAUUGAGAUUGGGUGUUGUAUGUGAGUUGUGAUGGACCGAUGGUGCGCUGAAAGGAUUAUCCGACCACACACCCUCAGGUCAGACUCUGCGCUGCACUGAUGUUGGGUCAUCAUCGCCGCAGUGCAUCAAACACAAGUGCUAAUUGAUGUGAAAGCACACACAUGUACACACUUCAGCCCACCACCAGGAAGAAAAGCUAGCAGGGACACAAACUCAAUGGGUCCCUUUUCAUCUCACACACACAUACACACACUGAACGCCAUGCCUCCAGGCGAAAUGAAAUGCUGAGUGAUAAUCUGCGGCAGCCAGCUGUGUGUUACAUCAUAACAGGCAGGCAGCCAAUAGAGAGAGAGGAGGCAGCAGUGAUGGUGAGAGUGUAGCAGAGGUAGAAUAAAAAAGAUAAAACCCUCUGUAAUGACAUUGUGUUCGUUAGGUUUGCUUCUCUGUUAAGUUGAAUAUUGUUUUUGGUUUUCUUUUAAUAGAACUCCUUUUUUAUUCUUAAUCUCCUUUAUUGCAACAAAAGUACAAAACAAAAUAAAACACCAACCACAAAGUUAAAAAGUUUUUUUUAAGCAGUCAUUCGUCCUCUUAGAGUGUCCGUCUUUAAUUCUCUGCAGCAUUAAUUGUGAUAUCCUUAUUUUAUAUCUCUUAAAUUUUUAUAUAUUUCAGACAGUGAUAGAGGAUUUAGGUUGUAAAUCUGUGUUUUUUUGAAAUUUAAUCCCAGUUUUAGUUUCAAGGUGAAGUUGUGCCAAUAGUAAAUUUUAGUUUGAUUUAUCCACAUCUUCAUACAGUUGUGUGACCGAGCUUAAAGUAGAAGUAGUUGACCUUGUGACCUCGUGUCAGCAUAUAAUUGUAAUCUCUUUAAGGCCUCCACCUCAGAAUAAUGAUGACUCAAUGUUUUUCUACUGUGCGGUUCUUGCCAGUGCCUGUCAAAGCUAUCGUCAUCCUCAUCCUUUAAAUUUGUGCUUUGAUAUGCUGGAUAAUUAGCAUUGUUAGCUGACGUAAGCUGCUUUAAAGUCAAUUGAGCUGGAGAAGAAGGAUUGAGAGAUGAGGGUUGUGAUCUUGCUCUUAAACUGGAUUGGAGGAAGAAUAGAGAGAUGCUCAGACCUCACUCUGUGAUUGGUGCAGCCAAAGGAUGGCUUUACAGUCAUGUAUUGUGAAGCCCCUCCUCUUGCAGGCUUACCCUCUUUCCUCUCUGUCUUGUCAUCUCUACACUAUCACGCAACCUCCCUCCCUUCCUAUGAAACAGAUGGGUUCACCCACAUGGCUUUCUGUAUCACUCACUCCCCCCUCCCUCCCUUUCUCCUCCCUCUCCUCUCUCUUGCUCCAUCACCCUAAUGUGCUGUGGCAGUGUCCGCUGCUGUGUUUGCUUCUACACAGGAGUCUGAGAUAAUCUGUUCGCCACCAUUCACUCUCUCUCUCUCUCUCUCUCUCUCUCUCUCUCUCUCUCUCUCUCUCUCUCUCUCUCUCUCUCUCUCUCUCUCUCUCUCUCUCUCCACCUCACACUUUUUUUUGCUUAACUUUCAUUCAUACAUUCUAUGCUUUUUUUAAAUAUGUUUCAACCAUCAGUUUGUGUCUAAUAUAAAUGUGAUACAACAAUGUUAAUGAGUGAGUCAUGCUCAGAGGGAGAACUAACAACACUUGUCAGUUUACUUGUCUUCACUUAAUCCUGAAGAUCUUAUUUUUAUCUUUACACUUUAUCUCACUGACGUAUUCUGGACUAUCCUCCACUAGAAACUGGACUGAUGUUACCUUUUGAUAAUUUUAUUGUUGGGUUUUUCUACAGUAUUAAAGUUAAUUGGUACACAAAAAGCAUCUUGUGUUUUCAUAAGACUCAGUUGAUCCAGGACUCUGCUGAGUCCAGUGUUGCUGACCAAAGCUCUCCUGUCAGUCCUUUUUUUUUUUUUUUUACUGCAUCCGGCUCACAUGUCAUUUGUUCGACAAGGUGACAUUGAAAGACAAAGCGGAGGUAUUUCUGAUCUAACUGUAUUAAAUUAGAUUUUUUUUUUCUGCAGUGUGGCAGAGACGGGAGAAGAGGGCUGCAAAAUCCUGCUUGAGGCCUUCAAUAAUUGUGUUAAGAGUGCAGCUGAGGCGACGUCAUGAGGGGGCCGACCCUUACCUCAAAUGUAAGUGUGUUACGUAACUCUCUGAUUCAUUUGCUGAUUUUAUAGAUUUUAGCUCUGAUGAAAGCUGUUCGGAGAAAAGUCUGAGGGUAAUCCAGCAGGUCACUGUUUCUGGUUUAGUUAAUAUCAGUUUUCAGUGCUCUGGUUUGGACAAAAUGGGGAGGCAACAUCAGAGGGGAGACAGGACCACUCAGACCACUCAGUAUCGGUGUGGGUGUCUGGGCGUGCAUGUGGCGCUCCUGCAAUGUUUUACUCUUGUUUGUCUGCAACAACAUAAUGUGAUGUAAAGACACACACCAAUACACUGACGUUACACAGAUGCUUAUCAUAGGGUUCCAACGCAAGUAUAAAAAAGUAUGGAAAUAAAUGUUUCCAGACUAUUACCACAGUUCUAAAAUACAGUUUUCUAAAACAGAAAAGUAGGUAUUUCCAAAAGUAAUUCUAAAAAGUAGUGUAUGGAAAAGUAUGGAACUUCAAAUUGUGUAGGAACCCUGAUAUCAGUGGGGCUGUUGUCUACAUCUAUGAUUUACAUGUGAUCUGUAUCCUGUAUCCAAGAUAAGAUAAACUAGAUAAGGAGUAUAUAUAUAUAUUUAAACCUUGUUAGGAGACUGUUUCUGCAAACUUUAGCAACAGGUAACAACGGUAUCAAACACACCUUCAUGAAAAAAGGGAAUAAAAGAAAUAAACAUUUGCUGCCUCUUUACUAAGGAGACCCUGUCAAACUCAAAGUAUAAUGAUAGCUGGUUAUUGAGGACAAACUCAUGCUCUUCUUCUAAACUUAAACAAACUGUGACUGAUUAAAUCACAACAGUUACAAUAAGGUCAGAAGAGGCAUCCAAACAACCUGGUUAGAUUAACUGUCUCUUUAAGAAACGGCUUUGCAAGCUUACUGUAAAAUAUGCAAUAACCACAUGUAAGAUUACAGCAGGCAAGCACCUUCUGUGAUACCAGCUUUGUGGAAAUGUCCCUGAGUAAGACAGAAGAAGUGUAAAUCCAAAGACCUGUUGAUCACAGGGUUACAACUACAGUCAUUGAUUAUCAUUAUUCACUGGUUUGUUUAUUGGUCCAUCAGUCACAGUUUCCUUUGUCUCACCUCUCGUAUGUUUUCCAGGUCCACUGCACUGAGUCCUCCAAGUUCCCAGCAUUCCCUUCUGCACAAAGGCACUGGACUGAAUGAUGAUGAUGACAAUGAUGAUGAAGACGAUCAUGGUGUGGCAAACAUCGAGUUGAUUCGGGCUGAAUUCGGGAUCUGGCGGCAGUAACCACAGUUUCCUCCCUCUGUCCUCCUCCCCCCCUGCUUUAGGCUUAUCUGGUGUCCCUCAGUCUUACCACCAUUCCCCCUCUCCCUCUAUGGCUGACAUGCAGCACAUCAACAUGUAGACAAUUCCAGAGAGCUGAUGGGCUGUAAUGUCAAUUGUCGACUUGAGAUGAAUACUUAUAAAUGGAAAUAAAAGUAUCCAGUAAUUGGUAUAAAAACAAAUUGUGAUUUUGGCUUCUUUUCUUUCUCUGAUAAGGCGAGGAUGGUAACUUUCAUUAAAACUUGGAUGUAGCACCAUCAGUGUUGUCUCAUAUGAACCCGUUUGGGAGUAUGGAUCAUUGUCUUUAUUUAGAAAAAAGACCAGAACAAAUAUUGUUCCCUCGGUUAGUCUCUACUGUGUGAACUUUGACAAGGGCAAAACACGCCAUCGAGAAGAGUGGAGCUAGUUAUUACUCUGAAGCAGUGAAAACAACUAAAAGUACAAGAAUGAAAGCGGGAAUCCUUCAAAAACACUCCUGCUUGGGAGUGAAGCUGUUGAGUCAAACAAGUUCUUCAAACCACAGAACUAAAGCAGCAACUACAUCAAAAACUAACUUUUUUUCCUGUUGUGGAGGCACCAAAAAAGCCCAUAAACUCUGUCAACUUGACAUUGUUUUCUAUCUAUUUUACUCAUAUCUGCAGUUUUCGUUAUUCUUUUUUUAUAUAUAUAUAAAAUAUAAAUGAUUGCUAAAUAGACAGAGGCACAAGUCUGUUACAGUAGCUGCCUGGUCCAAGCUAACUUAAAUCACAGAAGAGCAUCUAAUCUUUGACCUAAGACAUUUAAGUACAAAAACAGUCAAUGUGAAUCAACCACUGAAAGAAGUUUUUUUUCAAUGUUUUUUUUCAACUUGACAGUUGAUGGUUGCUUUAAUGUCCCAUUGACAUUCUAUUGAAUGCCAAACUGAAAAAGCUUUGUGUGGCAUUCAUAUUUAAAACAUUUACACACUCACAAUAAACAUAAAUUGUUUAGUCAUGAAUUUUAAAGUGAAGGAAAAUUGGUGUCGUUCAUUGACAGAGUCACUGCUGAAUUCACUUAAACCAGAUCUAAAGCCACCAUGCUCAGGCCACACACAUACACUCGCAAGGAGACAGCGAUACUGUCAGCUGUCUGUUCCAUCCUGAUCAAACUUCAGAGAGAGGCUGAAACUGCUUUUGGCAUCACACCCAACAGAUUCCCUCAGGAGCCACCCAUUGGCUUUCAGUUAGAGCUUUGUCGUUGUUUAGUUUACAGUCGAACAGGCUUAUCCAGCCUCUGAACCGAAGAUUUAAAAAAAGUUCAGAGCCAUGACAUGACAUGACGCUUUAUGAAGAUUUUCAGCAUGUUAGAAAUGUACCCUCUAAAUCCUAUGAGAGUAGACAGAUGUGUGAGAAACAUACAGUUGGAUUGAACAUGUCUCUCAGGAAACACUUUACCUCAGCAAGAUGGAUGAUAUCUUUGAAGAAAAAUGUAUUUCUGUGCCGCACAACAGAAAUGACUAAAUAAACUGUCUGAAUGUGGACUUAAAAA